rnacentral:rRNA from 1 species
UUGGAGGGCAAGUCUGGUGCCAGCAGCCGCGGUAAUUCCAGCUCCAAUAGCGUAUAUUAAAGUUGUUGCAGUUAAAAAGCUCGUAGUUGAAUUUCGGGAUCAAUUUGUCGGUCGUGCCUCGGUACGUACUGGUAUUAUUGGUUUCUACCUUCUGAAGAACCUUGAUGUCAUUAAUUUGGUGUCUUGGGGAAUCAGGACUGUUACUUUGAAAAAAUUAGAGUGUUUAAAGCAAGCAUACGCUUGAAUACAUUAACAUGGAAUAAUGAAAUAGGACGUUUGAUUCUAUUUUGUUGGUUUCUAGGAUCGACGUAAUGAUUAAUAGGGAUAGUUGGGGGCAUUAGUAUUCAAUUGUCAGAGGUGAAAUUCUUGGAUUUAUUGAAGACUAACUACUGCGAAAGCAUUUGCCAAGGAUGUUUUCAUUAAUCAAGAACGAAAGUUAGGGGAUCGAAGACGAUCAGAUACCGUCGUAGUCUUAACCAUAAACUAUGCCGACUAGGGAUCGGAUGAUGUUAAUUUUUUAAUGACUCAUUCGGCGCCUUACGGGAAACA